rnacentral:rRNA from 1 species
GCUUACGGCCAUAUCAUGUUGAGAGCACCGGUUCUCGUCCGAUCACCGAAGUUAAGCAGCGUCGAGCCUACUGAGUAGGGAAACCUAGGUGCUGUAAGAG